CAUAUAACAAAAAAAUCAAAAAAAAA
rnacentral:sRNA from 1 species